rnacentral:rRNA from 1 species
UACGUAGGGUGCAAGCGUUAAUCGGAAUUACUGGGCGUAAAGCGUGCGCAGGCGGCUUUGCAAGACAGAUGUGAAAUCCCCGGGCUUAACCUGGGAACUGCAUUUGUGACUGCAUGACUGGAGUGUGGCAGAGGGGGGUGGAAUUCCGCGUGUAGCAGCGAAAUGCGUAGAGAUGUGGAGGAACACCGAUGGCGAAGGCAGCCCCCUGGGCUAACACUGACGCUCAUGCACGAAAGCGUGGGGAGCAAACAGG